UAAUCUGACUCUCUGGGCGCUCAGUUGUAGUGACUGCUGGACAGAGCUAGGGCUUCGGCCGUAGGACUACAACUCCCAGGAACACAUGCGUCGGCGGUCCGACGCUCCGGAGUCCUCGACCGCAGCGCGGGGCUUUCGGGUUCGCUAGUUCCGCUUCGCGCCCGGCGCCGCCGUCGGGCAGAGAAGUACCCGGUGGGCUCCGCGGUGCGGCGCCGUCCCGGGCGGCCUGGCCACAGCCCAGUCCCACGUCUCUCUCCAGGUUUGCAGACGGGCCGUCUUGGCGUGUCCGCCUGGAUCCCUUCCCGCCACGGAAGAGGCGGCCCCGGCUCGUCCAUUCGGGGGCUGGGCUGGGCUGGGGUCACCGUCCCGAGAGCGGCGGGCGGUGUGAGGAGCGAGGGACUCCUUGAGGGCCCCGGAGUCAGCAGAAGCGACGGCCGCGGGGAUCCUGGCAGUCUGCCCCCCGGCAGAAGGGACGUGAAGUGAGAGAUGGAUCAGCGUGCCGAGACGUCUAGGCAGUACCAGAGGCGGCUGGCCCGGACACCUGAUCUCUGCGGGUGGCUGCCGGCUCCGCGGCCUGGCCCCUGACGGCAUCCCCUCUGCCUGUCGUGCACUCACACUUUUCAUUGGAAAUCUUGGCAGUGAAGAAAGCUUGUAAGGGCAACGCAUAUGGAAAAGCCUCGGGAAACCUGUACAGGUUGAACCAGCUUGGUAAAUACACCAACCAGAGCACACACCGCUCUGCACAUGAGAUAAUCAGUGUCGGAGAGAAACUCUGUGGUCGUAAAGGAGGUGGAGAUUUCUUGUACCCAUAGUCACCCCUCUCUCAGGGCAUGAGAACUCAUAGCAAGGAGAAAGCCUAUGAUGU